rnacentral:rRNA from 1 species
AUGUGGCUUCCCAGGUUCAGCGUAGACCACCACUGGCACAACCGAGAACCAGGCAACGACAGCAAUCGAGGCAUGGGACCGGCAGACUGCGGCUUUCAUCCAAACCAAAUGGUGGAAGAUGGGCGCAAGGGGAGGGAGGUCAAUGAAGACACGGGUGAAUGGAUGCAGGACACGGACAGCGGUGGUGCCCUUGUUGAGCAGGAUGAGGAGGCCAUCAGUGAAGCCGACGAUCCGGUGGUUCUGGAGCUCGGACAGACGGACAUGGAGGCGCCUGCUGGUGGACGUGUGGAAGAGGGUGAUCUCGCAGGCAUCAGCUGGGCGUACGCCAUCGCCGUCACAGAGGGCGACCCAGCCGCGAGGACGGAAGCGGGUUUCCUGCAGCGUGAGAUCGCAGGGGCUGGUGGUGAAGGCACGCCAGUGCGAGCACACAGCGCGGAAGCACAUGUAAUCCGUCACGUCCUCCGCCAGCAGUUGCUCGGCGAUGAUGCGGGUGAUGUCCGGAGGGAGGGAGGACCAGUCGGUCGCCUGGGAAGGCUCCCCGGCGGCCUCUGGGCGCUUGCGGGCGGUGAGAGCGGCAAAGGAGCAAGCUUUACGCUUCAGUCCUGCGCUCGCCAUCGCUCCUGGUCUCCGCCGAUGCAAAGACAAAAAGGUCGGGCCUUUCCCUGCGAACCAAUCUAA